AUCGUUUCUUAUACUGGAAUUGAAUAUAUAGCCCUAAUACCCAAAUCACAGUUUCCUCUCAUCUCUUCACCUUCAUCACGACUGAAUCCUCCAUAACCCUAAUAUCCCUGUAAAGACUACAAAUGAAUCAUCCCACCUUCAAUUUGCCCUCUCAAAUCCCCCUUACGUUCUCACUCCACCUUCUGCCCUGCCGGCGACAGUGGUUCCAGGGGCUGUGGUAUUGGUGGUCGUCAAAGGCCAACGGCUAGGGUUUGCCAUGAAACACUGUAGUGUUGUUCAUCCACUUUGCUUUAAACUUUAAAUUAUAUGAAGAUUGUGGUUUAUUAGCUGCUUAUUCAAUUUCUAAUUGAACAUUUGAUGGAACCAGGUGACGUUCACAGGAUUUUAAUCAACAGAGUUCUGCUAGCUUCUGCAUCAAUCCCCCGAUUGAAUAGUGUUUUAUGUCUCUUGCCAGCAUAUUCCAGGUUUGUUUGCUGAAGUUUAUCUCCACGGAUUUGCACUUAGAAAUUAGCAUCAACUACCGAUGGACGUCAACCACGAGAAAGAGUGUGGGCAGUGACCAAAGGUAUUCGAUUAGGGUUUUCCAAGGAGGAAGAAAGUGGCAUGUUCUUGUUCGGUUCUUGUCCGUGACGCCAUUGCUCGAAUCCAAGAGGCGUUCUGACCAGAGUGGAUAUUUCUAUUUAAAUGGUGUGCUGGUAAGAAAGAUGAACGUCUUAUAAUCAAAGAUCCAAAUCCGAAUCUGUUUUUUGCUAGCCAGGAUAGUUUAUACAGUUGCGUUUUGAUUGUUAAAAGAGAUGGAUCUUUGGUAAACGAUUUUUGGCUACCCAGCUGCGUCCGACAUGGCCUAGAAUUUGACAACCGGGAACAAAGUUGCAGAUGAAAGUACAUUUUCGGCCAAAUGGGAGGAUCCAGAUGAGCUCAAGACAUGUACUAAAACUGUGCCUGAAAUUGAUUUUGCAAAAUUAAGAGAAUUGGUUAAUCGUGUUUGUGUCCAAAGUUGCACUAGACAAGGACCAAGCAAGCAAGAUGGCAAAAAGGUUUAUGCCAGACUCGAAGUUGAUUUCAAUUAAAGGAGAGCAAGGUUAAGGAGGUUAAAGGAGAGGUGACCCCUAAGCAUACUGAACUGUUACACUUUGAGGAAUAAGGCAGACAAAAGGGCAUAGGUCUAUGGGACAGGGGCGUUGUUGUGUCAUCAACACUUGGUGGCAUAAUAGAACUACAUUCAGAUGAUGAUAUUUCUGAUUACUGUAAUAGAAAUAUUACACUUGGUGCUUGAGUUAGUGACAUUGGUUUAGUUGUCCGUAUGAUUGACAGUAUUGCUGGGUCAACACCAGGUAACGAGUCAAGAGCUGCAGUUGGAUUGCAUUUUUGUUUUAGUUAAGGGAUGAACCUUAUGAGGGUAUUUUCUAUUAAUAGUGUCAUUUGCUUGAUUGUAGAAUGAUAAACUAGCCUACUAGGUAUAAUAUGGUCCAUUUACUAAGUCAUCAUGCAAGCAUAAACCUAUCAUUAUUUUGCAGAUUAGGCACUUCUUUAAAAAUGGUUGGAGUUCAGAGCAUGUGCUUUUGCUUACAAUUACUAACUGGAGUACAUCAAUUCUGCGUACUACUCCAUGUUAAAAUAAGACGUGUUUAAAAUGUGUAAUAUUUCUAAUCUAUUUUAAUGUAUUUUUUAUAGUUAAUGCAAUUCAUCA